UACGUAGGUGGCAAGCGUUAUCCGGAAUUAUUGGGCGUAAAGCGCACGUAGGCGGCUUUGCAAGUCGGAUGUGAAAUCCCUCGGCUUAACCAAGGAAGUGCAUCCGAAACUGCAGAGCUUGAGUACUUAAGAGGAUCGCGGAAUUCCCGGUGUAGAGGUGAAAUUCGUAGAUAUCGGGAGGAACACCAGUGGCGAAGGCGGCGCUCUGGAACAUUUCUGACGCUGAGGCUCGAAAGCGUGGGGAGCAAACAGG
rnacentral:rRNA from 1 species